rnacentral:lncRNA from 1 species
GUGACAUCCGGUCACAGCCCGUGCAGGCCCUCAUGUGUCCAGGAGGAUCAGGGCUGUGCCGGCAGGAAGCCUUGGUGAGCAGGCGCGCGGGCUGGGCCCCAAGGAUGACAGCGCCCAGGAGAGGUGAGUGCAUCCCCAGGGUGCCCCAGGGAGAGCCCGGCCCAGCGUCCUCUA